ACGUCAUAUUAUGUCAGCGGUGAAAAACAUGUAUUGUAUACAAUGUAAACAACAUUGAAAAAUAUCCACCGGAAAGAAAAUCUAAAAUGAAAAUUUAUUGGAAUGGCGUUAAAUGAAAUCGAACUGUUCAUGACUGAAAUUGAACAGUAGGCACAGAGGAGACUCUCCUCAGGAGAGGGAAACUAAUAAUUGACGGCAAGUAACCCUUGAUGACGACACCUCAAUGUAUUUAUAAUCUGAAUGCCUCCGAAUCUUGAGCGGGCUAUUGAAGAAGUCGACUGCAAUGAACCAACGGAACAAUUGCACUGGUGCUUACUAACGCGAAGAAGAAAAAUCAAAUAACGAGAGCUAUUAUAACUCUUAUUAAAAUGCAAUAUGGAAUGAAAUUAUGGAAUUCUCUUGGUAAUAAAAU